GAUCGAAUUGAGGUCACUGAACUUUAUAAAGCUGAUUUCUAUGAUCUAAUUCUCCCUGAAGCUGGGCGUCAGAAGGACCAACAGAACCGAAUCGACAAAUCCUCUCAUUUCAUGUGCGCAGGGUUGACACCAAAGGCUCCACUUUUCAUCGAGAGCCCGAAGACCUAGAGAUUCUACCUUUCGAAAGGCUAAGGGCUCCUCCUUUUGGUAGGAGGGUUCAGGGC
rnacentral:lncRNA from 1 species